AAACGAGGCUCAAACAAGUCUGUGAAGUUUACUACAGUGCAGUCUGAGGAUCUUUUUCGCCGUUUCAAAAUGAAGAUACUUGCUUGAAGCCAAGGGUAUAUCCGUAAAAUCAAGAAAGGCUAUGAAGAGCAAGCUCCAAGUUGGCGCCACCUCCUGGCAGAACACUGGAGGCACUCAGGUCAAGAAGAUUCUCCACUGAGUGCUCUGUUUUCCACAGCCAAGGAAGACAGCAGGUUGCAGAAGAGCCCUGUGCCACUGCGUGUCGGGUUCAGCAUUGGAGGUGGCGUAUAGUGAGAUAUAGUUUCUUCCCAGUUCUUCAUGAGCUCCCUGCUCAGCUGGAUCACACUGCUGAAAGGCACUCCAGUAUAGACAGAACAGGGAACAUUCUACACGAGACAACAGGAAAACACAAAGCUGCAAGAAUGAGCAUCGCAUGGAUUAGCGAUCUUCAGCAUCGCAUCAUGAGGUGACUGGAUGAAAUUAUUUGUCAGGAGGACACGCGAACACCUUCACAACCACAUAUAUCAGGGAAAUUCACAAUCCAAAUUAGACAAAGAUCUUUUCUAUAAGAUCUCUUUCUGUCUCACACACUGAAGAUUCAAAAGCAGCAUCAGUCUUCAGUGCUGAAGAAAAUGUGACGAGACUUGCAGAAAGAAAAGAGCUGAACUGAUCCUGCAGACCGCAUUCAACAUUUAGAUGCUGGAAGAAAACGUUCCUCCUUCGACAAGUUGAAGCGUGCAGGAAGUAAUACAGUUUUAUAUAGUACAUAUCAUGAUCGCUCAUGACACACAUACACACACCUGUUGACUUCAUAGUCUUCCUUUUCCUGCCCUGAGAAUUAACGACAAAUGGCAUACAG
rnacentral:lncRNA from 1 species